rnacentral:rRNA from 1 species
AGGACGAACGCUGGCGGCGUGCUUAACACAUGCAAGUCGAGCGAGGCCUCCCCUUCGGGGGAGUGCCCUAGCGGCGAACGGGUGAGUAACACGUGGGCAACCUGCCCCUAGCACUGGGAUAACUCCGGGAAACCGGGGCUAAUACCGGAUAUGACCUUUGAGGGCAUCCUCUUUGGUGUAAAGGAUUCUGGCUAGGGAUGGGCCCGCGGCCUAUCAGCUUGUUGGUGGGGUAAUGGCCUACCAAGGCGACGACGGGUAGCCGGCCUGAGAGGGCGACCGGCCACACUGGGACUGAGACACGGCCCAGACUCCUACGGGAGGCAGCAGUGGGAAUAUUGCACAAUGGGCGAAAGCCUGAUGCAGCGACGCCGCGUGAGGGAUGACGGCCUUCGGGUUGUAAACCUCUUUCAGUACCGACGAAGCGAAAGUGACGGUAGGUACAGAAGAAGCACCGGCCAACUACGCGCCAGCAGCCGC